GGACCAUGUAAACAUGGAUGGUAUAAAUAGAAAACAAAUUAAAUAAACAACAACGCAGCCAUGAAUCAAUAUCAACGCUAAUCAUGAUGUGUUCAAAAAAUGCAAAACACCCUAAGUGUCGUCGUAGUAAAAGUUCAAAGGUGAAGGCAGCACCUUGUGGUGGUUCCUGUUCAAAACCUUCCACCCCCCCUAAAUCCGCAAAAUCUCGCUCUCACGCCGUUAGUACUGAGGACUGUGAAUGUGCCAUAACUUUCAAAGUAUGUCCUGCACUAGUGUGCAUGGCAGCGCUGGUGCUGGUUGCCGUGGUCUUCAGCUAUCUGUAUAAUAAAUUAUGUGAAAGGGAUUCCCCAUGUCCGCGGUGAAGAACAACUGUUUGAAGAUUCUAUUUUACGUAUGGAAUGAAGAUUUUGGAUUUCCUAAAUAAUACGAGUAAAUAUACAAAAGACAAGUUGUUACUUAUCAGUUAUAUUAAAGACUUUAAUUCGACCAGAUUAAGUAAAAUCGAAUCCAAGACACUUUUCUUCGUCCCCGUCAAAAUUCACGCCUCUUGUUACUAUUAUAGACCAAUAUUGGCAGAGGAGAAUAACAUAUUAUCAGCUUAAUUUACCGUCGAGUCUCAGCAGGUAUUUUUAAUAUAAAAUAAA